UUCCGGUUGAUCCCGCCGGACCUGACUGCUAUCGGAUUGAUACUAAGCCAUGCGAGUCAUUGUAGUAAUACAAGGCAGACGGCUCAGUAACGCGUAGUCAACCUAACCUAUGGACGGGAAUAACCUCGGGAAACUGAGUAUAAUGCCCGAUAGAACAUUAUGCCUGGAAUGGUUUAUGUUCCAAAUGAUUUAUCGCCGUAGGAUGGGACUGCGGCCUAUCAGUUUGUUGGUGAGGUAAUGGCCCACCAAGACUAUUACAGGUACGGGCUCUGAGAGGAGUAGCCCGGAGAUGGGUACUGAGACACGGACCCAGGCCCUAUGGGGCGCAGCAGGCGAGAAAACUUUGCAAUGUGCGAAAGCACGACAAGGUUAAUCCGAGUGGUUUCUGCUAAAGGAACCUUUUGUCGGUCCUAGAAACACCGAUGAAUAAGGGGUGGGGCAAGUUCUGGUGUCAGCCGCCGCGGUAAAACCAGCACCUCAAGUGGUCAGGAUGAUUACUGGGCCUAAAGCAUCCGUAGCCGGCUCUAUAAGUUUUCGGUUAAAUCUGUACGCUCAACGUACAGGCUGCCGGGAAUACUGCAGAGCUAGGGAGUGGGAGAGGUAGACGGUACUCGGUAGGAAGGGGUAAAAUCCUUUGAUCUAUUGAUGACCACCUGUGGCGAAGGCGGUCUACCAGAACACGUCCGACGGUGAGGGAUGAAAGCUGGGAGAGCAAACCGGAUUAGAUACCCGGGUAGUCCCAGCUGUAAACUAUGCAAACUCAGUGAUGCAUUGGCUUGUGGCUAAUGCAGUGCUGCAGGGAAGCCGUUAAGUUUGCCGCCUGGGAAGUACGUACGCAAGUAUGAAACUUAAAGGAAUUGGCGGGGGAGCACCACAAGGGGUGAAGCCUGCGGUUCAAUUGGAGUCAACGCCGGG
rnacentral:rRNA from 1 species